rnacentral:snRNA from 1 species
AUACAUACCUGGUGUUGGACCCACCGGUGAUCAGGGAGGCUGGGGUCCCGUGCCGAGGCCUUCCAUUGCACUGCGGUAUGCUGAAGCACGCCACUUUCCCAAAUUGGGAAAGACUGGGACACGAAAUUUUUGGUAGUGGGGCUCGUCGAUCGGGCCAGCCCCU